rnacentral:rRNA from 1 species
AUGCUCCUGGCGACGUUCGCGGUGAGCAUCACGUACGUCGCCGGGCUGAGCACGCCGGGCGGCUUCUGGGACAGCAUCGGGGGCAGCCACCACCCAGGCGACGCCAUUCUCAAGGACAAGCACAGCCCACGCCUCAUGGUGUUCAUUCUCUGCAACACCACGGCUUUCGUGGCGUCCCUGCUCAUCACCAUGGUGCUCAUCAUUGACGGGAAGAAGCUCGGCAAGAAGAAGAUGGUUCGGUCUCGCAUACUCUGCGGGUGCAUCGUCAUCGCCCUGGUCGGUCUCGUCGCCGCAUACGUCGCGGGCAGCUGCACGGAGACCGACACCACCGUCUACGUGGUCUCCCUGGUUGGCGCCGUUGUGGCAUACAUCAUGCUCCAACUCUAUGACUAA